AACUGGUGAGUAACACGUGGGAAACCUGCCCAGAAGCGGGGGAUAACACCUGGAAACAGAUGCUAAUACCGCAUAACAACUUGGACCGCAUGGUCCRAGUUUGAAAGAUGGCUUYGGCUAUCACUUUUGGAUGGUCCCGCGGCGUAUUAGCUAGAUGGUGRGGUAACGGCUCACCAUGGCAAUGAUACGUAKCCGACCUGAGAGGGUAAUCGGCCACAUUGGGACUGAGACACGGCCCAAACUMMUACGGGAGGCAGCAGUAGGGAAUCUUCCACAAUGGACGAAAGUCUGAUGGAGCAACGCCGCGUGAGUGAAGAAGGGUUUCGGCUCGUAAAACUCUGUUGUUAAAGAAGAACAUAUCUGAGAGUAACUGUUCAGGURUUGACGGUAUUUAACCAGAAAGCCACGGCUAACUACGUGCCAGCAGCCGCGGUAAUACGUAGGUGGCAAGCGUUGUCCGGAUUUAUUGGGCGUAAAGCGAGCGCAGGCGGUUUUUUAAGUCUGAUGUGAAAGCCUUCGGCUCAACCGAAGAAGUGCAUCGGAAACUGGGAAACUUGAGUGCAGAAGAGGACAGUGGAACUCCAUGUGUAGCGGUGAAAUGCGUAGAUAUAUGGAAGAACACCAGUGGCGAAGGCGGCUGUCUGGUCUGUAACUGACGCUGAGGCUCGAAAGUAUGGGUAGCAAACAGGAUUAGAUACCCUGG
rnacentral:rRNA from 1 species